GACGAACGCUGGCGGCGUGCCUAAUACAUGCAAGUAGGACGCAGUUGCGAACGGGUGAGUAACGCGUAGGUAACUACCUAUUAGAGGGGGAUAACUAUUGGAAACGAUAGCUAAUACCGCAUACUAGUAGAUGUACCUGCGUUUUAUUAUAUAGUAGGUAGGGUAAUGGCUUACCUAGGCAAAGAUACAUAGCCGACCUGAGAUGGUGAUCGGCCACCCUGGGCAUGCGACACGGCCUAGACUCCUACUGGAGGCAGCAGUAGGGAAUCUUCGGCAAUGGGGGUAACCCUGACCGAGCAACGCCGCGUGAGUGAAGAAGGUUUUCGGAUCGUAAAGCUCUGUUGUUAAGGAAGCGGUACUUAACCAGAAAUGGACGGCUAACUACGUGCCAGCCGCCGCGGUAAUAC
rnacentral:rRNA from 1 species